rnacentral:rRNA from 1 species
CUACAGGGGGUGCGAGCGUUAAUCGGAAUUACUGGGCGUAAAGAGUACGUAGGCGGUUGCUUAAGUCAGACGUGAAAGCCCCGGGCUCAACCUGGGAACUGCAUUUGAAACUGAGUGACUAGAGUUUAAGAGAGGGGAGUAGAAUUCCGGGUGUAGCGGUGAAAUGCGUAGAGAUCCGGAGGAAUACCAGUGGCGAAGGCGGCUCCCUGGCUUAAAUCUGACGCUGAGGUACGAAAGCGUGGGUAGCAAACAGGAUUAGAUACCCCGGUAGUCC